UUCAGCUGUAAAAACAGGCAAAAAUAUCAUUUGUAAGAACUGCAACCUAAGUUAAAAUGACUACUGCUAUUUACCAAAUUUAACUGAGCUAAACUGAUUACAGGUUGGGUACUCCUUAUGCAAACGCCAAUAAUUUUCAAUUUUUACUUUUUCCAAACUUUGGAUUAUCUGCAUAUAUAAAAUGUGGUAUCUUGGGGAUGUGACCGAAGUCUAAACACAAAAUUCAUUUUCAUGUUCAAUAUACAACUUACACACAUAAUCUAAAGGUAAUUUCAUAGAGUAUUUUUAAUAAUUUUGUGCAUGAAACAAUGUCUGCGUUAAGUACUUAUGUGUGGAAAUUUCUACUUGUGUGAUCAUGUCAGUGCUCAAAAAGUUUUGGAUUUUGGAGCAUUUAGGAUUUCAGAUUUUCGGGUUAGGGAUGUUCAACCUGUACUUCCUGGUAGGUA